CAGUCAUUCCCUUCUCAAUAAAUGGCACCACCAUGUACUCAACCACUCCAGGCCAGAAACCUUACAGGGAACUUUUCUGAAGACAACAGAACUGGAAAACUAAAUUGAACAAUCUUACCACCCUCAAAGGGCAUUUCUUAGGAGCAGAAGCCCAGACAUGUGCUACCCAUUGGCUCCCCUGGGUCUCCAGGUUGCUGACGGCAGAUCUUAGGAACUUUUCAGACUCCAUAAUCAU